CAAUCGGCCCUUUUCAGGGCCAACACAUGUGUAAUAAGAAUUAAUU
rfam:Aedes aegypti strain Liverpool supercont1.75 genomic scaffold, whole genome shotgun sequence.